rnacentral:rRNA from 1 species
AUAGUAGAGGAUAGCCCGGACGAAAGUCGGAUUAAUACUCUAUGUUGUAUUUUUGAGGACAUCUGACGAAUACCAAAGAUUGAUCGCUAUGGGAUGGGGAUGCGUCUGAUUAGGUGUUGGCGGGUAACGGCCCACCAAGCCGACGAUCAGUAGGGGUUCUGAGAGGAAGGUCCCCCACAUUGGUACUGAGACACGGACCAAAUUCCUACGGGAGGCAGCAGUGAGGAAUAUUGGUCAAUGGGCGAGAGCCUGAACCAGCCAAGUAGCGUGCGAAGGAUGACUGCCCUAUGUGUUGUAAACUGUCUUUUAGUAGGGGAAUAAAGUCCACUACGUGUAGUGGUUUGUAUGUACCCUAUGAAUAAGGACCGGCUAAUUCCGUGCCAGCAGCUGC